rnacentral:siRNA from 1 species
UAGACGAAGCUUAGAGGUCA